GAGCUCAGCUGCUGUUGCCAUUUUGAAGAUGCUGUUACUCUGUGAAAAGCUCAGGGUUUACACUGAUUGGAAUUAUUCUACUGAAAUAUCUGUGUUGUAAGACUUGAAGAUUUGUAAGUUGUGUAGGUUAUAUUUUCUAAGUUAAUGCACCUUUUUUCUGUAUCCAGCUCACAAAUAGCUAUGCAGAUACACACACAUGAGCCUUCCAAGCCAUGCAAUCUCUGCCAUCCUUCUGUGGUAUCACCACUGCCAGACAAGUCAACUGCAAUGCAAAGCCAAAGAGCGGGGCUCAGGAAACCCUCCUACUUUCAUGUUUGGCUUUCCCUGGGAGAAGUUAGAGGACGCGGAGGAAUUUCUUUCUUCUUUGUAUCUGUGUUGGCUAAAGCAGGACAGAGGAGCUUGAAAAGGCUCGCCCUCCUCAAGGAACGCUAUCUGAUUCGUAAGCAUUCCUAGAGGUUAAGGCUGGUGACUAUCAAGAAAGCAAAUACUUCACGCAAGGCUUAUGAUAAUGAAUUGAAUAAUAAAAAGCAAUCAUAAAACAUCUCCAUAUUGUAUCCUGGAGAUUCACUAGGAUGAUUUUCACUAAAUGGAUUUUUACAUGGAAUGGAUUUAUUUUCCAAAGUUCAACGACAGUCAAGACUACAUCCGUACGUGUUUAGGAGCCAAAAAUUGUAAGUAAAGGAGAAAACACAUCUGUGUGGGGAAGUUUUUGAAUAAUUGCACUGUUUGUUUAAUGAUAUAGCUGAUGUUAUGAGUGCUCCUGGAGAGUAGAUCAGUGCUGGAGCAGCAGGGAUAAGGAUGUUUUCCUUCAGGGCAACGUGAAAUACUUUGUUUUGUCCUAGUAUGUUCAAGAGAACUGCAUUUCCAUUUUGGCUUCAAGAGAUCUUUUAAAAAGUGAAAUUCUUUUUCAAAAAAGUAAUGCUGGUUUAAGAAAUUUAAACUUUUAUUUAUUUACUUAUUUACACUUCAAGACAAAGUAGUUCACUCACCCAUUUUGGGAACAAAGCUACCCACUGAAGCUGAUUG